rnacentral:rRNA from 1 species
AGAACGAACGCUGGCGGCGUGGAUAAGACAUGCAAGUCGAACGCGACUUACCGCGAUAGCAAUAUCAUGGUAAGUUGAGUGGCGAAAGGGUGCGUAACACGUGGGAAUUUACCAAGAAGUGGGGAAUAGCUCGACGAAAGUCGAAUUAAUACCGCAUAUGAUCGCAAGAUCAAAGCCGGGGACCGCAAGGCCUGGCGCUUUUUGAGAAGCCCGCGGCCCAUCAGCUAGUUGGCGAGGUAAAAGCUCACCAAGGCUAUGACGGGUAGCUGGUCUGAGAGGACGACCAGCCACACUGGAACUGAGACACGGUCCAGACACCUACGGGUGGCAGCAGUCGAGAAUUUUUUCACAAUGGACGAAAGUCUGAUGGAGCGACGCCGCGUGGAGGAUGAAGGUUUUCGGAUUGUAAACUCCUGUCACUGCAGAACAGGAUGUGUGUAUGAAUAGUACAUGCUAUUGAUGGUAUGGCGGUAGGAGGAAGGGACGGUACG